AGCCCUCUGUAUCCGAGCUAAGAUUCGUCAGAGAUCAACCCAUUGGGGCUGAUGGCACUUCCCAAAUAAGUGAAGCG
rnacentral:pre_miRNA from 1 species